AAAUCUAGAAGACACUAGUCAUAAUGAACAUGCUUCAUUAUGAGCAUAUACUCAGAUAUUUUUUUCCUUUUUUGACAACAUCAAAAAGAUUGCAAAAUAAUAAAAUAUUAAGCACAAGACAAUAUUUCAUUCAUUGCAUGCCAAAUUAUUGCAAGAAUAUGAAUUAUGUGACUCAAGGCAAUACUGUCAGGGCAAGAUAAUGAGUAUAGAUCAAAGCCAAUUAAGAUAGUUUUAAAAUUAUGAUUGGAUCACAUCAAAAUCAAGGAUGAAAAGUUUGGCUUUAAAAAUGAGACAUUUAAGAUGUGAGCCAGAAGAGAUCUCUAAAUAUAGAUUCCAAAGAUAGUUUUCAAAUCAAGUGUAGAUGGAAUCUUUUUCAAGUUAUUUCAAGAAGUAUCAAGAAUAAUAUUCAAAGAAGGCACGAAUGAAAAUCCAACA
rnacentral:lncRNA from 1 species